rnacentral:rRNA from 1 species
AUGAUGCCGAUAGGGAGGCAAGGCUGGCUUCGUCUCAACAUCAUUUCUUUUCUUUUUUGUCGACAACGGAGCAACGGCGAGAUCCAGCCCCUUGCCAAGUUGUUUUUGUCCCAGGCGAGGGGCGAUCUUGGUCCGUUGAUGAAGCUUGAAGACGGUGGACACUGUCUCACAUUACAAUCUUCAUCUCGUGCCGAUGGUCUUUUUGGCACGCUUCCACAGCUUGGAGGAGUUCACCAUACCCCCAUAAAAGGCCCACAAGACCACAGCCCCAGCUUACACAAGUCACACCGAUCGAUCGAGUCACCCACCAUGGCCGUCAUGACUCUCUGUUUCUUUUCUUUUUUGACGGGCGUUCUGAUAGGGGUGACCAUGGCUCUUAAAGGAGAGGCGUUCAGGUUUGCCGGCGACGUCGCAGCCAUCUUGCCGGCGCCAGUGAAGAAGACCGUGGUGGCACUGGCGCGAAGCAGCCCCGCCCGUGCCGCCGCCGAUGCCCUGGUAGGUCUCUUCCUGGGCAUGGUCUGCGUGAUGUUCACGGCCACGUUCUUCAACGUCGUCGCAUCCCUUGCCUGCGAUGGGGACUGCUCCCUGGCCGGCAUCCUCUCUGAGAUCUCGGACUACUCCGAGACGCUCUCCCUGCUUCUCUUAGCGCCGGCGUCUGCGCUCUUCUUCCUGCGCGCUGCCGGCUACAGCAGUGAGGUCAAGGAGGAUUUCAAUGAGCAGCCUUCUUCUUCUCUCCUUGAAAGCCUCAAGUCGCCGGCACGCUUGGCGGUUGCGACUGCAGGGCUUUUCUUUGGGAUCAUCUCUUGGAUUCUUCGGAUGUGUGGAUCUCCACAGAUUUCUGACAUUCCAGGCGUUGCGGCUCUUUUCUUCUUGCACCUAUUUAUCGUCCUCUUCUACAUCAGUGCUGCACGGGCGCUGUGGAGGAUGAAUCGCAGGCCAGCAAUUGACAUGGUGGCAGAGUAG